rnacentral:rRNA from 1 species
AAUGAACGUUGGCGGCAUGGAUUAGGCAUGCAAGUCGGGGGAAUCCCAGCAAUGGGGGAACCGGCGUAAGGGGCAGUAAGGCAUGGGUACCUACCUUGGGGUUCGGGAUAGCCAUCAGAGAUGGUGGGUAAUACCGGAUGACGUCGUGAGACCAAAGAUUUAUCGCCCUUAGAGGGGCCCAUGUGAUAUUAGCUAGUUGGUGGGGUAACGGCCCACCAAGGCGAAGAUGUCUAGCGGGUGUGAGAGCACGACCCGCGCCACUCGCACUGAGACACUGGCGAGACACCCACGGGUGGCUGCAGUCGAGGAUCUUCGGCAAUGAGCGCAAGCUUGACCGAGUGAUGCCGCGUGAGCGAUGAAGGCCUUCGAGUUGUAAAGCUCUUUAGUGGGGGAGAAAAGCCGCAAGGUGUGAUCUAUCCCAAAAAUAAGCACGGGCUAAGUUCGUGCCAGCCGCCGCGGUAA